GCGGGGCCAGCCCCGACCGGACCUUUGUGUCCGCGCGCCGGAUGGCGGGAGCGCGGGUCGCCGGGCUCGGGGAGGGGACCGCGGCCCCUCGUCCCGCGGGGGAGCCGGGAGGAUGCCCGCCCGUGCUGCACCUACGGUCGGAACAUUCCCCUGAAAAGUGGAGGUCCCGUUCAGGUCCCUCCCCUAACAACCCGCGGCAGGUCCGGGCCCAGCCGACCUCUGCUCCAGAAUCCGCAAGGCCCGCGGCGCCUCCGUUUCAGCGGAGAAAAAGAGCUCCAGGAACGAUGAGAACGAAUAAAAAGAGAGGAGAGGAAACUGAGGCAUGGAGAUAGGUGAGCACACCCCGUCCCCUGCCUGGCCACUGCAAGUCUCUGCAAGAGAAGCCCCUAAAAGCCAGCCCAGCCCUGGACCGUGGCUCAGACACCACUGAGGACACAGCAAGAAUACAGCUGUCCCCAAGCCAGGAAGAGGGUCCUCCACCAGGAACCAAAUCUCGGGCAUUCUGAACUUGGACUUCCCAGGUUCCAAAAACGUGAGAAGUCACUUUCUGUUGCUUAUGCCACCCAGUCUGGUGUUUUGUUAUGGCAUCAGGAACAGCCUUUUCCUCCUCAACUAACCACAGAAUUUUUUUAAUUUUUAUUUUUUUAAGUGUAUUUAUUUUGAGAGAGAAACAACACCAUUGGGGGAGGGGCAGAGAGAGAGAGAGAGAGAGAGAGAGAGAGAGAGAGAAUCCUAAGCAGGCUCAGCACUGUCGGUGCAGAGCCUGAUCCGGGGCUCGAACUCAAGAACGGGAGGUCAUGACCUGAACCAAAAGCAAGCGUUGGGCGCUUAACCAACUGAGUCCCCCGGGCACCCCAGCCUCUGAGAAUCCCACACCUGAGUUUGGUGCAGUUCCCGUCUGCAGUCAUUCACUGGGUAUCAUGGGUGCCAGGCCUCCCUUUGUGGUGCUGAGCAUCCAGAGUAAAAAGUGCCCGCCCAGUUCCCGCCCUGGAGGAGGUGCCUCCUCCAGAGGGAUGGCAGGCAGGUUGAUAAGGUAGGGUGUCAGGUGGUGGGCUGGAUAAGCAUCCCUGGCUCAGUGAGUGCCCUGCCCUUGGCCCUAUCAGAGAAGACGGGUCCGUGGAGAAAUUCUUUCUCCCAACUUGCCACGGCUUGAGCCUCCUGCAACCAGAGACAUCAGCCCACUAUCAUGGCCCCAUCUCAUGGCACCGGCCUAGUGGCCAGACUUGAGCCAGCAGCAGAUGAGAAGAUCUGGCCUAACUUUUCCACCCAAUAAAGACCAAUCAUCCGUCCAGCCAUGUGACAAAUAGUUAUUGCACAUGAGCUCUGUUCUAAGCCCUAGACUAAACAAAACUCAUGUUGGUCCUGUCCUGCCACGCCCUGUGCCCCAGAGGGUUACAGUCUAAUUAGGGGAAGCAGAUGUUAAACCAAUAAUCACAACGGUAUAAAGUCCCACUGUAUCCAUAGCAGGGACAGCCAUCAUGCUGGAGAAGCCAGGAGAGUCUUCUCUGGAAAGUGCUGGUUGACCCGGGGUCUUCUGGAAGACCAGGAAUUGAAUAGACAAAGGAAAGGACAUUCCUGAGAAAGGUUAGCACACGUGCAAAGGCCCUGAGACAGGAGUGUGGUGGGGCUAGGACACGAGAAGCGACGUGGACAGAAGUGACAUGGCCAGAGCCAGAGGGGGCUAAGUGGAUGGGUCUCAAUUACAGAGCUUCACUUUAAGAGUGACAGCAGCCUGGUAAGGUCUAAAAGCAGGGAUGAGAGGGAGACUCCUCCCCCCAAAGUAUAACUGUCCACCCAUCUGCCCCCCAUUCCUUCCCACCAUGACUUGGACCUCUACUGUCUCACCAGAAGCAGUGGCCUCCUCCCCUGCCUUAUGCCUCCCCUAAUAUCCGUGACCUCGCUUGUUUUCUGUGCAGCAGCCAGAGUGAGCUUUCAAAAGUAUAAAUCUGACUGUUGCUAAAAAAAAAAAAAAUUAUUUCUGACCCUUGCUGAAAUGGUAAGACGGACUUUGUUCAGCACUGUCGCGAUAGGGACAGGGGCCCCUGUGUUGGGGUUUGCAUUCAGGGAGAGAGAUGGGGCUCACGUCCACAUACAGGGAGGAGAAGAUGUGUACCCACAGAGCAGGGUCCGGGAGUGUGAGACUACUAGGAGGAAAUAGCAGGGGGAAGGGUGGGGGGGCUCUGGCUAAGCUGGCCUGGCAGGAUUCUUGCGGAAGACAUGGGCGGUCACACAUCCCCUGGGAGGAGGCAGGGGAUGAGGAAUUUGGUCAGACCUAGAGGGCAGGGAAUUCUGGCUAAACCAACUUGUCCGGAUUCUUGCCAAAACUGGACUCUUACAGGGACAGGGUGGGAAGCUCCAGCUUGUGCCCAGGCGAGCCGAAGGCUCAGAGGAGCCCAACUGAAGUCUGGUCAGGGAGAGAGUCUCUGUCACCAGGUCGUCCUGCCCCUGCUCAAAACCCGUCAGUAACUCCCUGUUGCUCUUUUUUUUUUUUUUAAUUUUUUUUUUCAACGUUUAUUUACUUU